UACAGAGGGGGCGAGCGUUGUUCGGAAUUACUGGGCGUAAAGGGCUCGUAGGUGGCCAACUAAGUCAGACGUGAAAUCCCUCGGCUUAACCGGGGAACUGCGUCUGAUACUGGAUGGCUUGAGUUUGGGAGAGGGAUGCGGAAUUCCAGGUGUAGCGGUGAAAUGCGUAGAUAUCUGGAGGAACACCGGUGGCGAAGGCGGCAUCCUGGACCAACACUGACACUGAGGAGCGAAAGCCAGGGGAGCAAACGGG
rnacentral:rRNA from 1 species